AGUGAACGCCGGCGGUAGGCCUAACACAUGCAAGUCGAACGGCAGCACAGUAAGAGCUUGCUCUUACGGGUGGCGAGUGGCGGACGGGUGAGGAAUACAUCGGAAUCUACUUUUUCGUGGGGGAUAACGUAGGGAAACUUACGCUAAUACCGCAUACGACCUACGGGUGAAAGCAGGGGAUCUUCGGACCUUGCGCGAUUGAAUGAGCCGAUGUCGGAUUAGCUAGUUGGCGGGGUAAAGGCCCACCAAGGCGACGAUCCGUAGCUGGUCUGAGAGGAUGAUCAGCCACACUGGAACUGAGACACGGUCCAGACUCCUACGGGAGGCAGCAGCGGGGAAUAUUGGACAAUGGGCGCAAGCCUGAUCCAGCCAUACCGCGUGGGUGAAGAAGGCCUUCGGGUUGUAAAGCCCUUUUGUUGGGAAAGAAAAGCAGCAGGUUAAUACCCCGCUGUUCUGACGGUACCCAAAGAAUAAGCACCGGCUAACUUCGUG
rnacentral:rRNA from 1 species